rnacentral:rRNA from 1 species
UACGGGGGGAGCAAGCGUUGUUCGGAUUUACUGGGCGUAAAGGGCGCGUAGGCGGUCAGCACAAGUCAGUUGUGAAAUCUCCGGGCUUAACUCGGAAAGGUCAACUGAUACUGUGCGACUAGAGUGCAGAAGGGGCAACUGGAAUUCUCGGUGUAGCGGUGAAAUGCGUAGAUAUCGAGAGGAACACCUGCGGCGAAGGCGGUUGUCUGGAGCUUUGCUGACGCUGAUGCGCGAAAGCGUGGGGAGCGAUCCGG